GACCCCAUCUGACAUUAGCCCCCCACAUUGUGCCAGGUAAAACUGAGACCUGGACUGAGAUCAUGGCCCCCCUUGUGCCAGGCAGCACACGACUGUGGCCCAGAUUUCUGCCUCCAUUGUGUGGGCACUUCAGAGGCCUCGACUGAGAUCUGUGUCCCCAUUGGGCCUGGCACUACAUUGACCCUGACCCUGAUCAUGCCCCACCACUGUAAUGGGCACUGCACAGACCCUGACAGAAAUCCUGCCUCCAUAUUUUGCCAGAUGCUGCAGGGACCCCAAACAAAAUCAGGGAUCCUGUAAUGCCGGGAGUUGCGGAGCCCUCAACUGAGGUCAGACCCCCUGUUGUGCAGGAGCCCUGCACAGACACUGACCAAGAUCAGGGUCCCCAUUGUGACAGGCUACAGAAUAAUGUCCACGUUUCGCCCCAAAUCAUCCCGUCCUCCCAGCGGGAAGGAAACGGCUGCAAUGGAGCUGGCUCAGAGUUUCCAGUUUCGAAACCUGAUGUGAUUUCGCAGCUGGAACGAGGGGAAGAGCCGUGGGUCCCGGGUCUCUGAGAAAGAAGUGCCCCUCAGAGCUGCCUGCACAGGUGAUGGGAUGGUGAGUGAUAACAAGGAGGAGAAACCCCAGCAGGAAGAUGCUGAG